AUUGAACGCUGGCGGCAGGCUUAACACAUGCAAGUCGAGCGGGGUGAUGGUGCUUGCACUAUCACUUAGCGGCGGACGGGUGAGUAAUGCUUAGGAAUCUGCUUAUUAGUGGGGGACAACAUCUCGAAAGGGAUGCUAAUACCGCAUACGUCCUACGGGAGAAAGCAGGGGAUCACUUGUGACCUUGCGCUAAUAGAUGAGCCUAAGUCGGAUUAGCUAGUUGGUGGGGUAAAGGCCUCCCAAGGCGACGAUCUGUAGCGGGUCUGAGAGGAUGAUCCGCCACACUGGGACUGAGACACGGCCCAGACUCCUACGGGAGGCAGCAGUGGGGAAUAUUGGACAAUGGGGGGAACCCUGAUCCAGCCAUGCCGCGUGUGUGAAGAAGGCCUUAUGGUUGUAAAGCACUUUAAGCGAGGAGGAGGCUCUUUUGGUUAAUACCCAAGAUGAGUGGACGUUACUCGCAGAAUAAGCACCGGCUAACUCUGUGCCAGCCGCCGCAGUAA
rnacentral:rRNA from 1 species